AUGUCUUGUGUAUGAUAAUUCAUCAAUGUAGAUAGGUUGCAUUUCAAUAAUUUAUAUUUUUAAUAUAUUUAAAUUAAAUUAGGUUAUAUUUUAGUGGCUAUUUGUUAAUAAAGAAAAACUCUUAUGAUGUUACAAUUUAAAUUUGCGAUAUGAGUUUAUAUUCCUAUCACGAGUUUAACAACCUUGAUCAUAAGAUCAUGAGUACAUGUUCUUGUUCUCUUAAUAAGGUUUAAUUAAUGAACCCCUCAUCUUAUAGAUAUACUCUCUCUGUUUCUAUUUGUAGGAGAGAAAAAUUAUAUCACACAAUUUAAAAAAUUGAUUAACUAUAUUAAUUAUGUUUAAAAGUAAAAAAAAUUUGACUACAACACCCUUUAUUAAUUGUGUUAAUCAAACAUUCAAAUCUCAUUAAUUGUUUCCUAUGAUUAUGAAUGAUGAAAUUAUGAAGAAUGGUUUAAAAAAUUUGUAAUAAAUAUCUAUUAAAAAUUAUAAUUUUAUUUAUAUAAAAAAUAAAUUAAAAAUAGCAGUUUCUUUUAUAAAUAAAAAUGGAGAGAGCACACACCAAUGAUGUACACAUCCUGACAAGCAGCUUGAACAAUGCACAGCGGCCUAGGACGCUGCACCAUACCACCACUAUUUGUUGGUUUGAAGGUGAAGACUCCUUUUUUGUUAGACUGUACAGGUGAAGACUCUUUCUUGUGCUCAUAGUCACAGAUCUCACGUAAGAUAAAAGAUUAAGACAGGGGAAGGCACAUGAUUCCACGUCCCAACCAUGGAGGCAUCCUUUUUGUCAAAAGCACCCAAUUUUGAAUAAAGUUGGACGACAAAGCAUCGCCUUUAUCUCUUCUUUGGCUCUCUGAUUCUCCCCUAGCUGUCCAUUGCUUGUCACCAUCUAUAUCUCAAACUAUAAACCUUCCCUUUUUCAUUUCAAGCAACCAUUGGUUACAAAAAUUGUGUUUAACAAGCUCCUAGGGGCUCCAUUCCACUCUAUCCUAGCUGAUCUUAGCAGGUUUGUCACCCUUGGGCACUUUGUAUUUUGCUCAACAUGUAGCAUUUUGGUUGUUUGGGGAGUUUUUAAACCACUUGGGAGCUAUAUAAUUAAUAAUUAAUGUUAUUGGAAAAGGCAGGAAUACACGUAAGAGGUGUUCAAGUUCUGCAAGCAAGGUUUUUGUGUUGAGAUUAAAAGGGGAAUUUUAUUUUGUUCAGCUGCUGUGACUCACAUGAAAACAUUAGUUACUACUUUUUGGUUCAGAUGCCCAAGAGACUUCUUUUAUUCCGUAUCAGUGCUAUGCGUUUUUGUUGGCUUUUUUAAUUUGGUGGGCUGUUUGUGGAAUCUGAUCCUGCAAGAUAAAAGCAAAUUUUGAUACGAUGCCUCUGAUUCAGCAUAUUUUGGAUCAAGUUGAGGAUGAGGUGAGUGAAGAAUACAGUUGCUUAAAGAAUCAAAUGCAAAGGAUGUGUUGAAAAACAAAAGGCAAUUUAAGUUAUUUUUUUAGGGUUUUCUCAAAGGGAUUCCGAGUCGGCAUAAAGUUGGAUACGUAGACCUGAGCAUUGAGAAACCAGGAACUUGAAAUUUCUAAGAACAUAACCCUCUUGUGAUUGUUUUCCUCACAUGCCUCUUGCUAAUAUUGACGUGGGGGCAGGAUCUUUCCCUAUCUCACUCAGAAUUAUGACAAGGCAAAGGUUUUUGAUAAACAAAUCAAACCAUGCUUGAAUGUAUUAAAGAUCUGGGGAAAAAGGAAGGAAUGAUAAGGAAUAGAUAUUAUUGUUUGCAGAAAUUAUAUGAAGCUUUAUUCUAUAUGCCUACAAUAUCAUGGGAAAAGCAUAACCACGAGCAGAUAGAUUUAAAUUUCUUAUUUGUUCACACACACGCAUAAAUAUAUGUGAGGGAUGUCAUAUAAAGGGAAGAAAAUACAUUUAUGAAUGCAGAUCAAGUAAAUCCACUUAUGGUGCUGUUGAGGAUUGAAACUUGCGAGAAACUAACAACCCCAAGGAAAAGGCUAAAACUGCAGUGAUAACAAUUCCCUUGUUCUGUCUUAAAACUUUCACCGCACUUGUUAAUAUGUUCUCUUGGUGAUUGUCACGUAGAGGAUCUCACCAUCAAAUUUCCCAGCUAUCUUAUCAGUAUCUGAAUCCUUUGGCACUGGAAAAAUCAGCUCAAAAUGAACACGUUUCUCUUCGUUCACUUGCCUUUCUCCUCUUACUAUAAUAUAGCCAGAGCCCUCGACCUGCAGCUUCACCUCUUCCUUCUUGAAUCCUGAAAAAAAUAGUUUUCACUGGCUUGUUAAUGACCUUACUUCAGGCAUAGAGAGAUUGAAGAAGCAAGCCAAGAAGAAAAAUGACUAGUCGACAUUGGAAAGAAAACAGACAGAGGCGUCCUCUUUCAAUAUGCCAAUGCUUGUAUGUUGCAGAAGCAUGUAUAUUCUAGUCUUGUACUAUGAAAUAAAGGUGUUUGAAUGUGGAAUACCGGGAAGAUCAACUAAAAGAUAAUGCCCGGUGGAGUCCUCUGUCCAUCCAGAAUUGGGCACUAUUUGUUCCACGAUAGGAGCACGUGAGCUUGUUCUGACUCCAGCCCUUCUUCCACCUCUAACAGUACUAGCCAUUGAUAAGGAUGAUCCAAUAGCUGAUAUGAUUCUCUAGACAGAAAGUAUUGAUUGGAUGUUGAAGGAGUAUCAAAAUUCACGCAAUGAAACUUUGUCCUUUGGUUUUAACACUUGAUCGUGAUCGUAUAUAAUUGCUGUUUCAUGCUGUGAUCUGCAUAUUUCGUUUGAUGGCGGUGAAGAGUUGAUUGAUGGCUUGUUAACAUUAUUAUUCCAAACUUAUGCGGAAAGAGCGUAUAAGAACUUAAGGUGGUGACCAACGUAUGUACGUAGUUUUGUAACAUUGUCCAAAAGCGAACUAUUCUUUCCUUGUUUUGCUCA